rnacentral:rRNA from 1 species
CAUGGUUUUUUGAAUUUAAUUUAAAAUUUAAUCUGCUCAAUGAUAUUUUAAAUUGCCGCAGUAUAUUAACUGUGCAAAGGUAGCAUAAUAAUUAGUUUCUUGAUUAGGAGCUGGAAUGAAUGAUUGGACGAUAAAAUAACUGUCUCUGAAUAAUUUAUUAAUGAAUUUUAUUUUUAAGUUAAAAAGCUUAAAUUUUUUUAAAAGACGAGAAGACCCUAUAGAGUUUAAUAAAAGAGAAUUAUUUAUUUGUUGGAAUUUGUUUAUAAUUAUAUUUAUUUGGUUGGGGUGAUUUGAAAAUUUAAUUAAUUUUUUAAAAUUUUAAUUUUUGAUUUAAAAAUUUUUAAUUUAUUAUUAUGAAAAUAAAUUAAAUUACCUUAGGGAUAACAGCGUAAUUUUUCUUUAAAGUUCCUAUUGAAAGAGAAGUUUGCGACCUCGAUGUUGGAUUAAAAUUGAUUUUUGGUGCAGUAGCCAAUAAAAAUUAAGUCUGUUCGACUUUUAAAAUUUUACAUGAUUUGAGUUUAAACCGGUGUAAGCCAGGUUGGAUUCUAUCUUUAAUUUCAAUAAAAUAUUUUAGUACGAAAGGACCAUUUAUUUAUUAUAUUAAUUG